AGAGCUGUGAAUACAGAGCCAGAGAGCCACAAUAAUUUUUACUAAGUAAUUUAGGGCUUUAGAUUCUGAAUUUUACAAUAAUGAGUGAGGAGCAGUACAGGAGACGGUAGUGGAAUGAUACAUCCUCUGACGGCUGAAUUUUUCUGACUUUAGUUUUUGUAACAUGGAACUUAUAAAAGCAUGGCAGUUGUGGCCUAUUUAACAUCUGCAAUGCAAGAGACAAGUACCAAAUUUUUCAAAUAUUUACUUAUCAUACAGUUGAGAUCCUGUGACCUUAUAACUGCUAGUACCUUUAGAAAAUGUGGAUUGUUCUCAUGAUUUUUUUCCCCAGGAGAGAGUUCAUCAAAACCUUCUGAUGUCUCCUUUAUGUUUACAAAGGAAAAGCAAUAUCCUUUAUGCCUAACUAUAACCUCAUUAAAAAAAAAAAAGUUUCUUCCCAGGACAUCCUGAGGCCAGAUAUUUCA